AGUGAACGCUGGCGGUAGGCCUAACACAUGCAAGUCGAACGGCAGCACAGUAAGAGCUUGCUCUUACGGGUGGCGAGUGGCGGACGGGUGAGGAAUACAUCGGAAUCUACUUUUUCGUGGGGGAUAACGUAGGGAAACUUACGCUAAUACCGCAUACGACCUACGGGUGAAAGCAGGGGAUCUUCGGACCUUGCGCGAUUGAAUGAGCCGAUGUCGGAUUAGCUAGUUGGCGGGGUAAAGGCCCACCAAGGCGACGAUCCGUAGCUGGUCUGAGAGGAUGAUCAGCCACACUGGAACUGAGACACGGUCCAGACUCCUACGGGAGGCGGCAGUGGGGAAUAUUGGACAAUGGGCGCAAGCCUGAUCCAGCCAUACCGCGUGGGUGAAGAAGGCCUUCGGGUUGUAAAGCCCUUUUGUUGGGAAAGAAAAGCAGCAGGUGAAUACCCCGCUGUUCUGACGGUACCCAAAGAAUAAGCACCGGCUAACUUCGUG
rnacentral:rRNA from 1 species